rnacentral:antisense_RNA from 1 species
CGGGGGGGAGGGGCGGCGAGGCGAGGCCUGCGGAGCGGAGGAAGACAAACAUAAAGAUGAAGUGCUUAAUUCAAGGUCACACAAUGUCGGGGAUGGACCUCCAGAUUUCCUUACUGUACUUAUCCUGUAUUACAUGAAGGAAAUGAAAUAAAAAGACUGCAACCCCACUCCCAGCUACUCAGUGAGGUGGUAGCUAGAGACGGAGUCUUGCUAUGUUGCCCAGGCUGGUCUUGAACUCCUCACCUCAAGCGAUCCUCUCGUCUUGGCCUCCCAAGUGUCAGGAUUACAGGCAUGUGCUAUCACACCCAACCUGAUACAUUGCCUUUAUAAAUUUUUUUUUCUUUAUUCUAAAAACCAGAAAAAACAAAACUGGAUACAUGUGCAGAACAUGCAGGUUUGUUACAUAGCUGUACGUGUGCCAUGGUGGUUUGCUGCACCUAUUGACCUAUCCUGUGAGACGUGGUCUUGUAACACAGUGGUUAAGAAUGUGACUUUGGAGCCAGCCUGCUAGGGGCUGAAUUCUGACUCAGCCAUUUACUAACUGUGUGACCUUAGGUCACAGAAUUUUCCACACUCCUUGACGGAGGUGCUUAACCCUUAUCCAUCAGCAUUCUCAGACAGCACCUCCGGUUAGGGACAGUAUCUGACCGUCCGACAUCCCUGCAGCCCCCAUGUGUCACACAGACUCAGCCUCAGGUAGAUGGUUUCCGUAGAUGGUGGCUUUCUUUGGACCCUUGACAUCAACCAGUUACUAUUUGGGGACCAGAUGUGCAGAGGUAAUGAAUACCAGGGAAUCAGGAAACCACUGG